rnacentral:rRNA from 1 species
CGUCGUCAGCUUACCCUGUGAAGGAACCACAGUAAGCAGAACUAGUACAACUCAAAACGCCAGGUCGAGGUGUAGCAUAUGAGAGGGGAAGAAAUGGGCUACAUUCCCUACUACAGGGAACACGAACAAUGUAAUGAAAUAUGCAUUAGAAGGAGGAUUUAGCAGUAAGCAGAAAUUAGAGCGUUCCGCUGAAACCGGCCCUGAAGCGCGCACACACCGCCCGUCACUCUCCCCAAGCCAACCAACACCCUAUAAAUAAUACAUUUCACCGGUAAAGGGGAGGCAAGUCGUAACAUGG